rnacentral:rRNA from 1 species
UACGGGGGGGGCAAGCGUUGUUCGGAAUUACUGGGCGUAAAGGGCUGGUAGGCGGCCAACUAAGUCGGAUGUGAAAUCCCCAGGCUUAACCUGGGAACUGCAUCCGAUACUGGAUGGCUUGAGUUUGGGAGAGGGAUGCGGAAUUCUAGGUGUAGCGGUGAAAUGCGUAGAUAUCUGGAGGAACACCGGUGGCGAAGGCGGCAUCCUGGACCAACACUGACGCUGAUGAGCGAAAGCGUGGGGAGCGAACAGG